GUGGCAGCGUAGGAGCAAGCCCCCCUGAAAUGUAAGAGAUGGGGACAGAGGGGUCUGUGGUGUUGUGCGGCCCCAGACCCGGAGAGCUGCUGCCGCGCCAGAGCCACCCCUGCCCUGCCAGCUUUCUGGUGCAUGCAAAACCGGUGCUUGCUUCCUGCUUUUUGUUCUUCAGCAAUAGGGGACAGGAAAUAUGAAGGGAAUAAUUACUGGAGGACCCACUCAAGCACAUCCUUUCUCAGGAGAGCCACAGCCUGCCUCAGGGUCCCACCAGCCUGUCCUGCACCAGCUGCAGCAGGGGACAGUCCUCAAAAGGUAGGUGUGCAGGGUAGGAUCCCACUUGCUGUAGCUAAUUUCCAUUUAUUUAGGCCUCUGCUAAGGAAUUAAAGCAGGUUUUGUCAUUAAUUGUUUUCCACAUGUCCAUUGUGCUUUAUAUAUUCAUAUUGCUCAGACUGGCAGCUGCCAAAGUGCUCUUUAGAAAAAUGAACGAGGUACAGAGUCAAUUUUCUUUUAACCAGCAAAAAUUGGUCUGACUGUUUUCUGCAAUCCUCAGAGCUAUGUUUUUACUUCUCCCGUGCCAAAUUUUGAAGCAAAGCAUUCAAAAUCCUGCCUGGCUAACCAGCAUCAAUGCUGGGAACACAACCUUGCUGUCUUGUACUGGGGCAGGUGCUGUACCAGUAAGAAAGCAAGUGGCAAAAGCAAGAAAACAAGCUCAGAUGCCUCCGCUCCUGUAAAAUACGUAAAAACAGAGAUUAAAGGCAAUGAUCAAGUGUGCUCUUUCAGUUGAGAUAAGAAACACUUCCUUCUACCUUCCCUAAAGUUAAACAGCUGAAGUAAGCUCGUUUCUUACUGUGCUCUAUGUAAUCGCAGGUUUCUGCACCCCACAGGUGUGAUACCGGUUCUCACAGGGCUGUUUUGUUGAAGAAAAGAAAUUCCAGCUGUGUAUCUUGAAACGCACUAUGCUCACAGAGAUACUGGAGAACGUAUCUUUCACCUUUCAGUGAUAGACCUAAGUCUGUCACCACAACAGCAGGUUUUACAGUGCAGCACCUAGAUGGUGGAUGUUGAAGACCACCAACAAUUGGAUGAUCCAGAUCUGUUCUUUUUGUAAGUUUAAUGUGCAGAUCGUGUAUUUGCAUUUACAACUUUACAUGAAUCUCCACAAUGAGAAAGCCCCCACAAACCCAGCCCUGCUUCACACACCCUUCUCCGUGCAGUGCUUGCUUCCUGGUGGAGGAUGUGCUAGCAUGUGAAAGCAUGUAAAGUCUCAGAAUACACUUUUGUUUUCUCAAACCCCAAGAUUUUCAUACAUUUGUUCCUAAUUAAUCUCUGUACAUUUACCAAAAUUGCCUUUUUAUUUAGGCAUCUCAAGUGAAAAAUAAAAAAAUAAAAAAUCAUAAUAAUAAAAAAAAA
ensembl:lncRNA